CUAUGUUGAUAAACCCACAUUUUUCAUCAGUGUUGAAAAAUCUAUUGCUGAUUAAUAAUUCAUAGUCAGUACAAAUCACUGGAGUGAAAGAGAAUUGGACUUGAAACAACUGAUGUGGAGGCAUGUUGACCAGAAAAACUUUUAAAUGAGUUAUUUACUUCAGGACUGGAAUUAGCCUAAAUCAAGGGAAAAAAUACUUGGACAAUAAUCAAAAAGUGGUAUAAAAGAGGACUAUUGAAUCAAAUCCGUCAUUGAUUUGAGAUCAAUUCAAAAUAUUCCACAUACUUUUCACGUAUUGUUGAAGAUGAAUGAAAGGAUAAUUCAAUUCUCUGGACAAAAUCGGUAUAAAUUAGGAUUUUUUCAACCAAACUGAAACUUUGUUAUUGGAGGGGAUACAAAUGCAAAGGUGAUACUAUUAUUUUAUGAUUUAAAAAAUUUAAUUUAAAUCACAUAAGUGAUAGGAAAAAUAUUAAGUAGCAUAAGUUAAAAAAGACAUAUUUUGUUUUUUACGAUAUAAAAUCUAAGGUUAAUU